AGGACGGAAUGUUCUUUACUUGAGCUGUCCAAUGUGGCAACUACAAGCCACAGCCAUGUGUGUACAAGGAUACUUGAAAUGUGAUAGUGUGACUCAGGAAUUGACUUCAUAAUUUUAUUUCAUCUUAAUUAAUUUAAGUGUGAAUUUUAAAAGCCACAUGUAGCGAGUGGCUACCAUGUUGGACAGUACAGCUCUAGAACGCAGAACCCUGCUAGAUGCAUCUCGAAAUAUCACCGAGGCCAGUAACCAGCGGGCCCGGUUUGCCUCAGCUCUCGGCGUGAAGGUCUCGCAGAUGUCAGCUGCCUGGACAUCCACAUGAAGCAGGCUGCCCCUCGGGAAAGAGAACACAUGGGUUCAGAGAGGUGUUGGCUGCACGGGCCCUUCUACAAGCUGGCGUGGGCUUGGGCUGCGCACUAUGUGUGGUGGGGCUCUGCUCCCCCGACAAGUCCUGGCCGCUGUCAGUUCAUGAUCAUUUUAGAGAGUGUUUAGUUUCCCUCCACUCCUUCUCUUCCAACUGCCCUUCCCCAAGCCCAGAGCACAGCGGACAUCCCAAGGUUGCCCCCUCAGGUUUGCCAGGACAGCUUCAUCGGAGAAUAGAAAUAGUCAUUCGCCUGCUCAAAGUCACGUCAGGACAGAGCUGAGAGAGAGCUUCAAAAUCAUUUUUUCAAAGCCUUCUGUUUUACAGCUGAGAGACCAAGGCCCGGAGAGGUGACCAGUACUGUCCUUGGCCUCUUUGCCCAGGACACUGACCCACUGAGCCCACAGAUGGGGCAGGAACACGUGUGCAAGCGAGAAGAACAAGAGCCAUCUGGCCGAGGUUAGGCACUCCUUCUGCCUCAUCGUGUCCAUACAGUAAUUUCCUAAAAUUGAAGAUGAGUAAGGGCAUGCUAUGCUGAGUUCGUAGCCAAGCCAGAUGGACAAGUCAUGAGCAGGCUACAUUUUUCUAAGAAUAUAUAAACUAUAUCUGGCAGACUCUGUUCGAGGUCCAAAGUUCUUGGUUUUAGGUAUGGCCAUGCAGAUCACACCAGACUUGAAGUGAGAGCUGUUCACCUGAUUUGAAACACUGCAGAUAACAAACUGUUGGGCGCCACUGAAAUGUAUCAGGGAAUUUAGUUGCAAUAAAAACAGUCAAAAUGAAUCAUCUUCAAGUUCCAACAACCAGGAAACAGACAUGUCAGUAAGGUGGGUAGUCAAGGCCCCCAUGGGUAUUAACAUCCCACUUUUAAUGACACCGUAAGAGCACGUGGCCCCAUUUCUCUCUAUAAUUAGAGCUAAUAAAUAUCUUCAAGUGGAUAUUUAUGGCAGACUUUGGAAAUAUUAACCUAUUAUUACUAGAGUUAUGAUGUUCUGAAUUUCAGUGUGAAAAAUGCAGCCAAAGCCUUGCUCGUCUCAAAAGGCAAAUGUAGC
rnacentral:lncRNA from 1 species